UUUAAACUUUGUAGUAUCUCUUUUUAAAUAAUAAUUGAACGUAGUUGUAUGUAUAUAUCAAAACUGUAGUUUGAUGAUAUUGUUAAUAACGAGGUAGUAAUGAAUCGAUAUAUUUGUUGAAGUUCAAGUGGGGGUUUUAUGGAGGGAUGGAGCUGAUAAUGAUUUGCUUUGAAGGUUGCAAAACACCGGAAAAGUCGGCACUCGGAUCGUCACGGAGGGUUAAAAAAUCGUCUGUCAUCCUCGAUCGCUUCUCUCGUCGAGUUCUUUGACUUUAUUCUAAGUGAAAUUAGGAAAAAAUAACUAUGUCUUUUACUGAAGUGAGCAUUCCGGCUCCGUGGGGAGCGAUACAAGG